GACGGAGGGUGCAAGCGGUGGUCGGAAUCACUGGGCGUAAAGCGCGUGUAGGCGGUUUGAUAAGUCGAAUGUUAAAGCCCGAGGCUCAACCUCGGAAGUGCAUUCGAAACUGUCAGGCUUGAGUACGGGAGAGGGAAGUGGAAUUCCUGGUGUAGAGGUGAAAUUCGUAGAUAUCAGGAGGAACACCGGUGGCGAAGGCGGCUUCCUGGACCGAUACUGACGCUGAGACGCGAAAGCGUGGGGAGCAAACAGG
rnacentral:rRNA from 1 species